UUCCCUACUUCCUGAAGACUUCACACGGCCACUGAGCUUUACUCUGGAUGGAACUCUUCUUUCCCGUUUGGCAGUGGAGAUGGGAACCUUGGUUUCUCUAACAGGAAGGCAUCAGAAAUACAGUGCUGAUUUAUGCCAAGAGAAGCCACUGUGCUAUGGCCAAGAACUUCCGGGCACAGCCAGGGGAAGGAGAGGAGAUAAUUGAGGCACAGAGAGACGUCAAGGAGACACGGAGAGAGUCGGACAUACAUAAUGAAAGAAAGAUCAAGAUGUAGAACUCUCAGCUACCUCUCCAGCACCAUGUCUGCCUGCACGCUACCUUGCUACCUGCCACGAAGACAAUGAAUUCUACCUCUAACACUGUAAGCCAGCCCCAAUUAAGUAUCUCCCUUUAUAAGA